UUGAGUUCAGUUUGCAAAGAGCAAGUAAGCCUAGCUGCAGCUGGUUCAACACCAAAUGCUUUGCACACACUUUGAGCAGACCUCAACUGCAGGUUGUUUCUAGCUGGGGCAACACCAACCUUUGUUGGUUGCAUAAGAGUAGCAGCUGCUUGUAAAGAGACAGCCAUAAUUUUACCCUUUUCUUGAUCAAAGUCUUCUUCUCCUCUCUGUUUCUGCUUUUUAGGAAGUGGUUGAGUGGCAGUAAGAAGUGGUUUGUAUGAGAGGCUGGACAAAUUAUUUUGGUGGCUUUGCUGUGAGUAAGAUAAGAGAUAGGAUAAGGGCUAUUUUUCAUUGGUUGGUUUGAGUAUUAGCCUAGUAUUUGGUGGCCUGCAACGUGGCAAAGUUAGUCUUCAGGAUAAAGAUACUCCCUUUUGUAAUCUUGCCAGGAAGUUAGUGGACUACCGCGUCUUCCCUUAUUUGAAGGUAAAAAUGUAAAAUAUUUAUUGACGCUCGAUUUAUCAGAGCAUUAGCCUAUUAUUUGGUGGCCUGCGACGUGGCAAAGUUAGUCUUUAGGAUAAAGAUACUCCCUUUUGUAAUCUUGCCCGGAAAUUAGUGGACUACCGCGUCUUCCAUUAUUUGAAGGUAAAAAUGUAAAAUACUUAUUGACACUCGACAUUAUACAUUUACACCAUAUCAUGUCUUUUUCGUACUAUUUUAUCCUUUUAGCCAAUGUUAAUUAAUGUCACCUCGAUUUAUCACUUAAGCUAGUAGAUUCAUUCCUAGAUUUCCGUCACUAUAGACUGUGUUUUGGUAUAAACAGUGUGUUUGAGAAUUAGAUUGACAAAUUAUACGGUAUACCAAUAUGAGCAGAAAACCCUUAUGAAAAGGUGAAGUAAAGAAAAUCAACUACCAGGCCUCUUUUGUUGUUGUUCAGCUUUGGGAAAAAGAUUUAAAAGGUUUUAACCGAUUCUUUUUGGUUUUUAAAGUAAUUUUUAUUUCUAAAAAUUAAGCCGAAAGCCCUUUUGAAAAAAUCAGAAGUUAUUCAAAAAAAAGGUGAAGAAAAAGACAUUUAGGAAUUUUAUUCUUCAGUUGAUCCUUGUACUAUUAGAGCGACUAUCAACAUGUAUGAUGGAGCCAAAGAUCCGAGUGAAAACAACGAGAGUAGACUUGGAGCACUCCCCAUACGAGAUGGGGUUGCACCAGGAAUCAUCUCUUAGCCCGUUUUAUUUGCCUUGGUGAUCGAAAAAUUGACAUGACAUAUUCGAGGGGAGGUACCAUGGUGUAUAUAUUUAGCUUUUUACAGAUGACUUAGUCUUAAUUGACAAUACUAGAGUCUAAAGGUUUCAGGUUGAGCAGAACUAAAACGGAGUAUAUGGAGUGCAAAUUCAGUGAUGAAUCCCAUGAGACGGAUGUAGAAGUAAUAAUCGGUACACAGGUGAACCCAAGAGAUGAAGCUUCAAGUAUCUUGGGUCAAUAAUCCAAGGAAAUCAGGAGAUCGACGAUGAUGUCAUAAAUCGUAUUUGAGUGGGAUGGAUGAAAUGGAGGCUCGCAAUAGGUGUCCUAUGUGAUAAGAAUGUACCAUCGAGACUUAAAGUAAGAUCUAUAGAGUAAUUGCUAGACCAACUAUAUUGUAUGUGACGGAAAGUUGACCAAUCAAGAACUCACACGUUUAGAAGAUAAAAGUAGCGGAAAUGAGGAUGUUUAGAUGGAUGUGUGAGCAUACUAGGAGAGAUAAAAUAAACGAAGAUAUGCGCGACAAGGUGGGAGUGACCUCCAAUAGUGGACAAGAUGCGAGAAGUGAAACUGAAAUGGUUGAGGUAUGGGAAGAGGAGGAGCACAGAUUCCCUAAUGAGCAGGUGCGACGGGUUGGCAGUGUUAGCUCUAAGGACAUGUAGAGAUAAACCGAGAAGAAUUAGGGAGAAGUGAUUAGACAACACAUGACACAUUUUCAGCUCAUCGAAGACAUGACUCUAGAUAAGAAAAUAUAAAAGCCGAGAAUUAAGGUAGAAGGUUAGUAAGUAGUCGAGCGAUUUCUCUCGUUUCCGUGGAGAGUAUGAUUCUGGUUUUGAGCAUCCUAUCUGCUCCUUCUUCUCUAAUCAAUAUCAUUAUUAUUUUUCUAUUAUUAUCUGAUUCUUCAGUUUAUUAUUAUUAUUAUUAUGAAGAUUAUUAUUAUUAUUAUUAUAAAGAUUAUUAUUAUUAUUAUUAUUAUUAUUUAUUUAUUUAUUAUUAUUAUUAUUAUUUUCUUUAGAUAUUAUCUUUACUCUUUUUGCUAUCAAUGCUUUUUUAUUUAUUGAUAUUUUCAUCAGAUGUUACCUUUUAUUUAUGAGUAUUUUCAUCAGAUGUUUCCUAUUAUGUAUUAUAAGUUGCGUCAUGUAUUUGUCCCAAAAAGUUAGUUUCACACUCAACCUUUACGGAUAUUCUAGUACCACACUAUUCUUAUCCAAGAUAAAUUUAUUUACUCUCUAAAAUUCCACAACCAGAUUCUAUGUGUUUACAUGCGCUGACACGUGGCAUUUUCACAAUUUUUUUUAUUCUUGCUAAAAUAAUCAUCUCCCUCACCCCCUCCCCAACUACACCAAUUCGAACCUUUCUUUCUCUCUUUUUUCGUCCCAUCAUUAAUUUCUUCUUUUGUACACAAAGUUUCAGCGAAAAGUUUCUAACGAUUGAUGUGAAUCAAUCUACGCUAUUCGUUGCUUUCCGGAUCAUGGUGAACACACAUAGAUUGUAAACAAAUAUUACUCCCUCCGUUUCAAAAUAAAUAAUUCUUUAGUUGUUUUCAUACAAAUUAAAUAAUUUAUCUUUUAAUAUUAAUUAGUAAUAAAAUUGAUCAUAUUAACCUUUACUUCUUCACAAAACACUCCUAGCACUUACUCAAACAUUAUUUACUCCAAGGGUAAUAUAUGAAAAAAUAAUUAAUUUAUUCUUAAAAUAUAAAAAAAUUACUUACUUUGAGCCAAAAAAAAAAACAAAAAACUUAUUAAAUUUAGACCGGAGGAAGUAACAAGUUUUCAUCACUUUACUCAUAUGUUGCCAUAAUUUCCAUGGCAAAUUAUGUCGCCUUUAAUGGAGCUAUAAAUUUUGGACUCUUUAAAACCUUUGUUGUUACAAAUGUAUUUGUAGCUAUUUGGUAAUAGGCCAACCACUUUCGUUUCUACAUCUACAAGCUUUCAAUAUUUUAUCCCUUUACAAAAUAAUAAUAAAUUAAAGAGAAAUUGAAAAAACUUAACAAAUUGGAUGGAAUGGUGAGAGCCUGGUGUUAGGUUUUUAAAUUGAACACCCUGUAUCAUCUAGAGAGAAGCUCUCCCUUCUCCAUAGAAUAUAUCUUUACCUAUACUUCUUUAGAACAAACACCCAUAUAACUCUAAUGGAUCAGCAAAACGGCCAAGGAGGAAUACCUCCAAAGCCAUCAGACAUUAAUUCCCCACAAUUAACCAAUCCUAUUUUUGUCUUUUUUAAAGACAAACUACUAUCCAGUGAAUAGAAGGAAACCUUCUCACUAAUAAUGCCACCGACAUAAUUAUCCCCAAUGGCAAUGAACACAAAUGAGGAACACGAUAAAAAGGUUUUUGAGGAUUCGGAAGGAGAAUUUAAAGUUCCCAUAAGUGGGGAAGACAAACUACGUAUUUACUACCCUUGGAGAUUUUCAGUUAUAAUAAAACUACUAGGUAAAAAAUAUCCUCCACCAAGUUCUCAAAUGCAAACUAUCUUGGUUAGCAAUAUUACAUAGUAAAAUUCAACAAAUAGGAGAACUUGGAGAACGUAUUACAAAAAGAAUCAUGAUUUGUCUUUGGCCACUUCCUUUUAGUACAACGCUGGGAACCAAAUUUUGCCCUAUUACUGCCAAACAAAUUUUCAUAGUAAUUUGGAUAUGCCUACCUCAUCUCCCCACAUAAUUCUAUGAUGAAGAAACUCUUAAAAAACUAGGGAACACAGUAGGCCAGAUUACUCAAAGUGGAUGCUUGCACAUCAACGACUUUAAGGGGUCGUUAUGCCAGGCACUGCGUAAAGCUACCUCUAGAUAAACUAGUAAAAUCAAAUGUGUGGAUAGGCACUAACAAAUAAAAAAUCCUCAGCGAAAGAGAAAUUCUUCUCUGUAGAAGCUAUGGUCAUCUAGGUCAUACAGCUAGACAGUGCAAUAUCAAGACACAGGGUCUAGCAACCUCAUCAUCUAAAAACAGUGGCGUAAAGGAAUAAAGUGGUCAGGAGCAAAAACAUCUCCACAAAGAGAAGGAAGAAUGGAAGACAUUUACCUUCAACAAAAUAAAAAGAAAAACUUUACUGCUACUAAUAGAGGCAAAGAAUCAACUAAGGUUACAAGUAUCAAUGUAAACAUUUUUUAUGCCAACACAGGUAGGUUCCUCACCUCCCAGAUUUUUAAUUACAAAUCUCGCCCUAAGCACAAUAUACCUACUGAAAAUGCUACUGAAAAACCUAUGAUAAACGAAUCUCACUCCAUCGGCAACAACAACAUCCAAACAAAUAAUCACUUUACUGCUUUAAUGUAGCAGAAUAUGGUUUUGGAAAAAACCACAACCCACUCAUCGGAGGUUGAAACAAAAAAAAAUUAAACUCCAAUACCACUCACAUUAUUGGCACAUUUAUAGGACACAUGUCACAUAGCAUUACUAACUCUUCUAAUAAUUAUUAUAAAAUAUGUACUAAAUCAGCCACCUCCCCAAAUAAACGAAUAAAUCCUAAUAAUUUUCUGUUGCAUGCCACAAAAGAUAUUUCACACGUCUCCAAAAUAGGCUACCCUCCUCCAAGUGGCCAAUACAUUCCAACACGUAAACCAAGCCCAAUCCCUUUUGAUGUUUUAAGCAUCAAUGCCACAUAAGAGGGGAGGGUGAUUUGUGUGGUACCCAAUUUUCACUUAAUUGAAUUAUGGAAGGACCUGGUCUUUUUAUGUGUUCUAACUACUAAUGUUUGCGGAAAAAUAAUACAAAAAUAAAGAACAUAGAGAUUUUUACGUGGAAAACACCUGGCUCAAAGGUGAAAAAACUACGACCUACUACUCAGUAGGAAUUUCCCAAACUUUCACUAAAAUCACUAAGCCAAAACAACAUUUACAAAAACUCUUUGUAAACCUUAGGAUUAACUCUAAUCCCAUUGUGGCACACGGCCUUACAUGUUGCGACAACUUCAAGUUAACUCUAACUUGAACACUCUAGGUACCUAAUACAAUUGCUUCUNNNNNNNNNNNNNNNNNNNNNNNNNNNNNNNNNNNNNNNNNNNNNNNNNNNNNNNNNNNNNNNNNNNNNNNNNNNNNNNNNNNNNNNNNNNNNNNNNNNNNNNNNNNNNNNNNNNNNNNNNNNNNNNNNNNNNNNNNNNNNNNNNNNNNNNNNNNNNNNNNNNNNNNNNNNNNNNNNNNNNNNNNNNNNNNNNNNNNNNNNNNNNNNNNNNNNNNNNNNNNNNNNNNNNNNNNNNNNNNNNNNNNNNNNNNNNNNNNNNNNNNNNNNNNNCUCUAGGUACCUAAUACAAUUGCUUCUAUGAAAGCUGAAAGGUACAAUGUAAAAUCACCUACUACAAUUGAACUAGAAUAAAAGAUAGACACAUGAAACUGGUUCUUCUAUCUCAUUCAAGUAGCUUCUAGAUUGCAUACUCAAAUCACACGUAAAUUGCUUGCAAAAUCUCCUUGCUCUUUUUAUCUCAAUUUAAGUUGAGCUUCUGCUUAUGUACAUUACCUGUAAAAGAGAACAACACUAACAUUUAAUAGGUUAGUAUUAGAGUUUGAGUGGGACUCAAUUGCUACUCUUCUAUCGUAGAAGAGUUCAUGAUGAUCUCAAACUCUAACAAUGUCUUCAUCCUAAACGGUGUUCUCUUCAUGUAAGGACUCUUUCUCUCCUUAUCCAAUAUGCAAUACUUUCGAUCAGUUCAGGAGAUAUUGUUGCUUGAUUAGUUAGACUUAUCUCCUUCACCUGUAUCUCAUAUGUACAAGUUGAUCAUGAUUGUGCUUCACAAGAUGGAUCCGGUCCAUGUUUGAGUUCUUUUUUCAAUCUUCAAAACUUCACAUGUUAUUGGGCCAUCAAAUUUCCCUUUUUUGAUGAUGACAAACUUUGUGAUUUUUAUUUAUAUGGCUACUGUAAGAACUCAGCUUAACCAUCAAUACAAAUUUUAGAAAAUUCACUUAUCAUCAAGGACUAGGUUAAUUAGGUUAUAAAUAUCACUUUUUCAUAAUGUGUAAAGCACAAUAUCUCUUACGUCUUUUGGCAUCAUCGAAAAGUUGCAUACAAAGUGUGUGUCCCAGAUUUUAAUAAGUACACAUGACCACUGGGGUAGCUGCAAGUGCAAUCAUGGUUUAAUCAUUAGUAAUCAAGAAACCACAUUUAAACUAUCAAGGAAAGAUUAACAAUGAACAAGAGCCAAAAAUAGUAGAUAUCAUUGAUAGAGAUAUGUUGCUACCACAAUCCAUAACCAGAAAGAAAAAAACAUUUAAAACAUGAGAAAAAAGAUAGAAAAAUUCCUAAUCUGGGUCACUAAAGGUACUAGACAGGUUCAGAAAACAAAAACUAGGGUUCAUAAGGCUUGGAAGAGCUAGAGGGUUGGUUUUGGGCUUGGAGAAGAUUCACUAUAUUAUGAACAAUUCCAUUAUUCUUCUUCUUUUCUUUGGUAAGCUCAGUUUUGAGGGCAUCUCUCUUAGAUUCCACCUAUGCCACAUGAGCCUUGAGCUUAGCUAUCUCAGCAUCCUUGGCUUCUCAUUCUUGGACGAGAUCCCUGACUUUGUUAUUGAUAGGAGUCUUCUUGGAUGAACGAGGUUCAUUUGGGAUGGCACUAACUAAAUAGUCACAAGCAAUUAGAGUGUUCAUGCGAAAAUGUUCCUUUCUUGAGGCCAUUUUCCAUUUCUUCAAAGGCAAACCUAUCCAGAACCGUGGUCAAAAUAAAGCCAUAUGGGGAGGGGUAUGAUGAGCCUUGGAGCCAUUGAUGACCAUGUCUAGCAUCUUGACAAUAAAGACAGGCCAAUUGAUUUGCCUUCCACUUUCCUUGUACUCCAUAAGAACUAGGUUCAUGUAAUUGGCAAUGUGCCUUCUCUCAUGUCUGGGCAGUAAGCAAUUGUUGACAAAUUCAAACAAGACCUUGUGUUGAGGCCUCAUUUCACUUUUCUAAGCAGCCCUUGCUUCACUCACAUUCUCUGCAUCACAAAACCUCCCGAUAAUCUCAAGGGUAGUAGGAAGGGAGUCCAGACAGGGCCACAUUUGCCUUGUGUAAAUAUCAAACCCUUUAGGGGUAUAUCAAGGAUUUCUCCAAGUUUUUCUGCAUCAAAGGACACUUGAACCCCUUUCACCAGGCUGCUAACCUUGCCCUCCUGAACCUCUGUAUUUGCUAUGAACUCAAUUAUCUCACUCCUGGAUAGCCUACCAUAUAUCUCAAGGACCAUGUCCUUCCACCCCUGAGCAGCUAAGGCAUCCACCAGUGUCAUCAUUCCUGGCUCCACCAGGUCUUUCAGCAAUCUACCCCUCAAAAUCUUUCUUUUGCCAAACAUGGCAAGCUUGUCCUUUUUGGAAUCAUUUUCUACUUCUUCUCCACUCCACUCCUCAUUUUCAGAAAUUUUUAUUUGUUUUCCUUUCACAGCAAACCUUGUCCUCUUGGCUAAUGAAGGUUCAGCAGCUUCAGACACAGAGGAGACUUUUUGAAAGAAGUCAAGUCUUGAGAUUUUUGGGCUUGAGGUCUGAACCUCCACUAUUUGAACUUCCUCCUGAUGGACAUGCUCCAUCUCCUCAACCUCCAUAGUCUCUGAGGAUUCUGCAACCUUCCCUUUUCCUUUAGCCAGCUUUUUCUUUUCGCUCUCAGCUAGAGACUUUUGAAGAUCACUCUCACUAUGCUUCACCCUGCUUCUUGUAGCUCUUCCCUUUGGCAAUGAAAUUUCAAUAGUUGUUGGGGAUAAGGCCUUUAUUUUCUUAGAGGGUUUAGGAACACUUUGGGCUUUUGGUUUGGGAGUUCUUAGUUUCUUUGGAUCAUAGCUUUCCCCAACCUUUUUCAGCAGGUCUGCUAAGGUUUCUUUAGUAGAUGAAACAGGUUCAUCUCUUUGUG
rnacentral:lncRNA from 1 species